CACGUAGGGUGCGAGCGUUGUCCGGAAUUAUUGGGCGUAAAGAGCUCGUAGGCGGUGUGUCGCGUCGGCCGUGAAAACCUGCAGCUUAACUGUGGGCUUGCGGUCGAUACGGGCACCACUGGAGUUCGGCAGGGGAGACUGGAAUUCCUGGUGUAGCGGUGAAAUGCGCAGAUAUCAGGAGGAACACCGGUGGCGAAGGCGGGUCUCUGGGCAGUAACUGACGCUGAGGAGCGAAAGCGUGGGGAGCGAACAGG
rnacentral:rRNA from 1 species